CUAAUCUGUCAGUCUUUUAAGGAAGCAAGAUGCAUUAGGGAAAUACUUCCUUUCAGUAAAGUGCUCUCGUGGUGGAGGCAGCUUGGAGCCCCAUCUGGAGGAGCUCCAUCCUGAGUCAGAGCUCCCUGAAGCUCAGAAUGUGACUGAUUAGUAAUGCCUGCCAGGGGCCUGGACAUGGCAAGCAGGGGUCUCUGAGGAUAUUGAGGGCAGGAAGCCUACAAGCUACCUAAUUCUUCCUCAUCUUUCACUGUCUUCCUGCCAACCCCCAGUGCCAAGCAUACUGCAUGCCAGAGGGAAACAUGACCAGAUGAUGAAGAAAAAUGACUCAGGACCUGCCUACACCUCCCGUGAAAUGUUCCACUUCUUGAGCAUUUUAUUCAACCAGCAUCAGCCGGGUGCAGUGCAUUAACACUAUGUCAUUAAGGAUUCCCAAAUAAGAUCAUCUUGGACUAUCCAGGUGGGGCCUGCAUCCAUGAACACCUGUCCUGAUAAUAGACAGAAGAGAAGGUGGAGACACGCAGAGAAAGAGAAGGCCAUGUGCAGAUGGAGGCAAGGAUGCGUAUGAUGCAGCUGCAAGCCAAGGA